AUUGAACGCUGGCGGCAUGCUUUCCACAUGCAAGUCGAACGGUAACAGGUCUUCGGAUGCUGACGAGUGGCGAACGGGUGAGUAAUACAUCGGAACGUGCCUAGUAGUGGGGGAUAACUACUCGAAAGAGUAGCUUAUACCGACUGACAUCUAUGUAGUAAAGCAGGGGACUUUCGGGCCUGGCGCUACUAGAGCGGCUGAUGGCGGAUUAGGUAGUUGGUGGGGUAAAGGCUUACCAAGCCUGCGAUCUGUAGCUGGUCUGAGAGGACGACCUGCCACACUGGGACUGAGACACGGACCAGACUCCUACGGGAGGCAGCAGUGGGGAAUUUUGGACAAUGGGCGAAAGCCUGAUCCAGCAAUGCCGCGUGCAGGAUGAAGGCCCUCGGGUUGUAAACUGCUUUUGUACGGAACGAAAAGCCUGGGGCUAAUAUCCCCGGGUCAUGACGGUACCGUAGAAUAAGCACCGGCUAACUACGUGCCAGCCGCCGCGGUAA
rnacentral:rRNA from 1 species